rnacentral:misc_RNA from 1 species
GAAAUGCGAUAAGUAAUGUGAAUUGCAGAAUUCAGUGAAUCAUCGAAUCUUUGAACGCACAUUGCGCCCAUUAGUAUUCUAGUGGGCAUGCCUGUUCGAGCGUCAUUUCGACCCUUAAGCCUAGCUUAGUGUUGGGAGACUGCCUAAUACGCAGCUCCUCAAAACCAGUGGCGGAGUCGGUUCGUGCUCUGAGCGUAGUAAUUUUUUAUCUCGCUUCUGCAAGCCGGACUGGCAACAGCCAUAAACCGCACCCUUCGGGGGCACUUUUUAAUGGUUGACCUCGGACCAGGUAGGAAUACCCGCUGAACUUAA